CAGCUGCGUGAAUUAAUGUGAAUUGCAGGACACAUUGAACAUCGAAAUCUUGAACGCAUAUUGCGGCCUCGGGCAUUCCCGAGGCCACGCCUGUCUCAGGGUCGGUGGAACAUAAACCGUCGCGUUCGCUCUUCUCGAGCGCGCCUCGGGUCACGCACGCGGACACACGCCUCCUUCCUCCUCACCGAGGUCGUUGUCGUUGUUGUCGCGUCCGUGGCCUCAAGUUCAGACUCGGCUUCGCCCCUGUCAGUUCCGUCUGCGGCGGGAUGCAAAAAAACGAGUCGUGUCGACGACCGUUACCUUGCCCUCCUCCCUCUGCUCGGCGGUGGCCUGCUUCUUUGGUUCGCGUCGAUCGACGCGGCAGAGAGAAAGUCAUCCCAUAGAGGUAAGGAGGCUGGUGUCGUUUGUCGUCGACCGCCUCGCCGGCGUGGACGUGGAGCGAAGCUGUUAAAAAGAAAGAAAGAGAGAGAGAAAGAAAGAAGACUGAUUAUUAAUUUAAUCUCUCCUCGAUCGAUC
rnacentral:rRNA from 1 species